rnacentral:rRNA from 1 species
AUACGGAGGGUGCAAGCGUUGUUCGGAAUUACUGGGCGUAAAGCGCGCGUAGGCGGUUUGAUCAGUCGGAUGUGAAAGCCCUGGGCUCAACCUGGGAACUGCAUUCGAUACUGUCAGACUAGAAUAUGGUAGAGGGUAGUGGAAUUCCUGGUGUAGCGGUGAAAUGCGUAGAUAUCAGGAGGAACAUCAGUGGCGAAGGCGGCUACCUGGACCAAUAUUGACGCUGAGGUGCGAAAGCGUGGGGAGUAAACAGGAUUAGAAACCCUAGUAGUCC